GAGGCUGUAAUCGCUGCCAAAGAUGCUUCAACUGAGUAAAGGGUCUGAAGACUUAUGUAAAUGUGAGUGGAAGUUAGGUAGAGAGGAGAGGAGCAGGACAUCCUUUUUUCAAACACUAGCACCACCUUUUACAUGGUACAAACACUGGUAUUUUAAGAAGCUAACAACACUGAGAAUAGUAGAUAAGGAGACACAACCCAAAAUUAGCAAAAUGCAGACUGAUAAUAAAAUACCGUCAAAAAAAUAAGAAAGUCACUCUUAGAUUUACACUGUGAAUUAACCAACAUUUUGGGACACAAUGUUAGGAUUAUGGCCGUUACGAUUGCGCUGCGGAAACAGUCACCAGUCCUAAAGUACAAACAAUUUGUGUCCUGCUGUUGUAUCCUCUUUAAUUGCCUCUGCACAUUUGUAUUCGUGACCCAGACAUCAGUGGUGUAUCAAGGUGUUCCAGGAGCAGACGGUCGUUGCCAUUAAGGCCCUGGAGAAGACCAAGCUGGAGCUGCCCACACCCAAGGAGAAUGGCAUCUAGAUCCACCUGAAGGGAGGCAGGGGACCAAUCAAAGUGUUGACCUGUGAGCUGGGCGGGCCUCAGUGUGACACACAGGGAAGUAGAAGGACCAGACUUUCUAGUUUUGGAGGAGAGAUCAUGCUUCUGCACACAGGGACCUCUGCAUCACGGAAUGCUGUACAGAGUGGAUAGUCUGGCGUCACACUGUCCUCAUUGGACGUUUUUGUCUCACUGUUCGGACUGACAGAUUCCACAUUCUGCCAUUGUAAUUUUAGGAAGAGACCGUUUUUGUCCAUUUUUGUAAUAAUUUCUCUGUGUAGAAUCCCAAGGAUUACAGCAAAGUUAAGGAAUGGAUUGUAAAAAGAACACGUAGGUUAUUAAAUUGCACGCUUUAUUUUUAUACAUAUUUAGUUUUGAGUUAACAGGGGAAAGGGCCUCAGAUCCACAAAGUCCCUUCCACCAGGUGGCUGAUGAGAUAUGUUGGCACGACUACCGUAUUGCAUCUCCAUCCCAAAGCCCUUGCUUGGAAGUGUACUUCGCCAGAU